rnacentral:lncRNA from 1 species
CCUGAUCUUCUACACCUCAUAACUCCGCAAUCAUAACUCCAAUUGAGGUGAAACCAACACUCACUUCUUCGUCUCGUUGAGCUAUAUCUUUUGGUAACAUUUUCACUAGGUGUUCUCACAGUGAAAAUGACCAUUUUGCCCUUGCCUCUAAUCAGCCCCCUCCGAGAAAGAACCGUCCGACGUUUUGUUCCGCGGCUUCACCGCACCUCUUCCUGGAGUCUCCGUCACCCAGGCAAGCCACAAUACCCACUUGCAUGAUAGUCAUCCAGUAGCCAUGGUUUUCAACUUAAAUAUUUAUUAAAUGUUUGCUUGUUUAAAACAUGGUUAUAGUUGUUUCGGUAAUGCUUAUGGAUUCAUGCUUACUUUCUUGCUAUGUUGUUAUGCACCUGGUUGUCAUGCCCUGCUAGUUGCUAGUAUUCCUUUCAUAUGCUUAUGCUUGCUAGUAGUAUAUGUUGAUGUUGGUAAUGGUCUUCGGUGCAUGACUGCCGUCUGUCCCGAGUACUGUUGUUAUGCAUGUUCCUUUGCAUCCAGUUGGUUAAAUGCUUGCGUGAUGGCAUUGUUGAUAUGUUCUUGCAUGAUGUUUAUUGUUGAUGCUAGUGGUCAUGUUAUGCUAUGAGUAGUGUUGUACUGGUAAUAUUCAUGCUCUUCAUUAUGGCAUGCUCAGUUGGAGAAGAUUCAUUGUUGAUAUGGUGGCUAGUUAUGUGGCACCCAUGCUUAUGUUGAUAUCAUGCUCAUGCAUUUUAAUUGUAUCAUGUAUUUUAUCAUGGCUUAGUAUAUUUGCAUUCAUGUUUAACCGGAUUAAAUUGAACUUGAACAACUGUUGGCUGAGUCAUGGUGCCACCAUAUCGAACUGACCAGUGCAACCACGCUUACCUUUAUGGGAAGGUCCUAAUUGGGUCUAUUGUCGUGCCUCUCGCUGGUGCGUCUAACGAGGGAAGGUUAUGGGUGUGCGGUACCCUGGUGAGGGAGUCCUGGAUUAGGGGGUGUCCGGAUAGCCGAACUAUACCUUCAGCCGGACUCCUGGACUAUGAAGAUACAAGAUUGAAGACUUCGUCUCGUGUCCGGAAGGGACUUUCCUUGGCGUGGAAGGCAAGCUUGGCGAUACGAAUAUUAAGAUCUCCUACCAUUGUAACCGACUUUAUGUAACCCUAACCGUAUCCGGUGUCUAUAUAAACCGGAGGGUUUUAGUCCGUAGGACAACAUACACAUCAACAAUCAUACCAUAGGCUAGCUUCUAGGGUUUAGCCUCUCUGAUCUCAUGGUAGAUCUACUCUUGUACUACCCAUAUCAUCAAUAUUAAUCAAGCAGGACGUAGGGUUUUACCUCCAUCGAGAGGGACUGAACCUGGGUAAAACAUCGUGUGCCUUGCCUCCUGUUACCAUCCGGCCUAGAUGCACAGUUCGGGACCCCCUAUGGCUAAGUGAGAGUGUUCACGCAUUAUAGUCUGAUUGCCUCGUUCGUUGGGCUAAGCGCCUCCCUCGAAGGCCCAGGUUUAUCCCCGAACACCCCAGCACUAGCGGCAAGGGGGGCAGAAGCCAAUGACUCGCCAUCUCUCAGUAUUGAUAAAUAGCCGCACAGAAGGUAAUAUUUUAAAUUCAAGCAGCAUUGCUUAGCGCAUAUGAACAAGUUUUCAACGCAUAGGAUAACACGAGCGGGUUUUACUCAAAAAAUACAUCCUUGGUACAUUCAUCCGCAACAAGGCGGGCACCCUUCAGAACAUCCUUAUAAUAAUUCUCGGGCUUGCGAUGCUCUUUCCCCAGCGGUGGCCCGUCCUUCACAAGCUUCUCCGCAUCCAGCUUGCCCCAGUGCACCUUAGCACGGGCAAGGGCCCUACCGGCACCUUCAAUGUAGAUGGAGCGCUUGAUGUCUUCAAGCCUCAGACAGGCGUCCACCAGCCGCCGCACCAGCCCAAAAUAGCUCCCAGGCAGAGCCUCUCCAGGCCAUAGCUGAACUAUGAGGCCCUUCAUGGCCUGUUCGGCCGCCUUGUGGAGCUCGACCAGUUGCUUCAGCUGGUCGCUCAGGGGCACGGGGUGUGCGGCCUCAGCGUACUGAGACCAGAACACCUUCUCCAUCGAGCUGCCCUCCUCAGCUCGAUAGAAUGCGGCAGCAUCGGACACAUUCCGGGGGAGAUCUGCGAACGCUCCUAGAGAGCUCCGGAUUUGGGUAAGUAUCAAGUAACUCACAUUUAUGUGUUUACUCUGCAUAAAGAAUGCCUUACCCGCCACUAUCUUCUUCACCUCAUCCAACUCCCGGAGGGUCUUCUGGGACUCGGCCUUGGCAGAUUUGGCACUUUCAAUAGCCACCGCAAGCUCGGAUGCUUGCGUCUUCGAGUCACGCUCCAAACUCUCAUGUUUUUCCAUGAGAGCCUGGAGCUCUUGCCGCACCUUGCCAACCUCGGCCUCAUACUUCUCCCGCUCGAUGCGCUCCAAGGCCGAAAAUCUUCUCGGCCUCGUCCAGCGCUUGCUUAAGGGUCGCCACCUGAGACGUGGCCCCUACAAUAGCCACGAUAAUCCUGUCAUUUUUUGCAAUUGCACCUUAUAUAUAUAUAUUUUUAACAAGGUAUUUCUUACCUUCAUUGUCCUCGAGCUGCUUCUUGGCACGCUCGAGCUCUUGCUUGGACCUUUCGAGGUCCUGCUUUAGCGUGUCCACUUCCGCAGUCAGUGCGGCGGAUGCAAGCAGGGUAGCCUGCACAUGCAUAUUGACUCAUUUUUGUUAGACUCCUGCGAAUUCUAUUUGAUCCUCUAUUCGGCUUUUCUUCCCGAACGCCAAACAGAGCAUCAGGGGCUACUGUCUAUGCAGUACUAUUAUUUACGCAUUCUUUACUUACCUCAAAGCCUGUUAAAAGACUUGUACAAGCUUCAGUCAGUCCGCUCUUGGCGGACUGAACCUUCCGGAUCACCACACUCAUAAUAGUGUGGUGCCCCUCGUCGAUGGAGGCACCUUGGAGCGCCUCCAACAUAUUGUCCGGCGCCUCCGGUUGGACGGAGGUCACCGGCACGGCGGGCUUGCUCCUCUUGGAAGGAGGUCCCCCGCCGGACUCUGGAACCUUUGAAGAUUCCGGAGCGGUAUCCGGCCUAGGGCCGGACUUGGAGCCCUGGGGGGUUUCAUCCCCUUUACUCCUGGAGUCCAGGAGGUCGCCUUGCGGCGCCUCCGGGACCACCUCCUACCUGCUGGGAACCUGUUCGGACAACACCUUGGUGUCGUCCGUAGGGCGGGGGGAGGAAGCCGUCGGAAGUGAGUUCACGUCCGACGAGUCCAGUGAGACGCUCGACGACAUGUUGAGCCGGUCUUUGGGUGGGCUGCAUAAACACAUUCGACAUAAGGGAAAGCUGUGCAAUAAACGAAUACCAUGAAUUACUUUGGUAUCCGGAUACUUACGAUUUCGCCAGCGGCUUGGCCCUGGGCACCCACUCCUCUUUGCCGUUGUCGGCGUCGGUGGAGUAGUCCGGAGAAAGGGUUUUCCCCUUCUUGGACCCUUCGGCCUCCCCAGUUGGGGCGGCCUUCCUUUUCUUCCCUUCCCCCGCUGGAGGGGGAGGGGUCUCUUCUUCCUCCUCCUUGUCUUCAUGGGAGGAGUGCGCCUCGGAUUCAUCGGAUGGUGAAUCCGACACCUCCGGGCGUCGGGCACUCUUUCGAGUCCCCGUGGCCUUCUUCUUGGCCCUCUUCUCCGGCACCACAUAGGGUGCCGGAACCAGCAACUUCGCCAGGUGAGCGUCCGCUGGGCCUUCGGGCAAAUGAGCCGGACAGUUGAUCUGUCCGGACGUCACCUGCCAAUCCUGUCAGAGGAAAGGGAGCUUAGAUCCCGCAUAGAAUCAAACUAUGUAAAACUGCUACCCUGUAAAAGGAAAAACAGCUUACCACGAGCGCGUGACGCUGCAUGCUGAAUCCGCGAUCCUCGGUAGCGGAUGCAGGAGCCUCGGCGCCCUUGAAAAGCAUCCUCCAGGCAUCUUCGUAUGUCGUGUCGAAGAGCCUGUUCAAAGUUUGAUGCUGCACCGGGUCGAACUCCCACAUAUUGAAGGCCUGUCGUUGACACGGGAGGAUCAGGCGGAUGAGCAUAACCUGGACUACGUUGACAAGUUUGAGCUUCUUGUUCACCAGGGUUUGGAUGCAUGUUUGGAGUCCGGUCAGCUCUCCUUUUUUACCCCACUACAGGCCGGUCUCCUUCCAGGAGUUGAGCCGCGUAGGGGGUCCGGACCGAAACUCGGGGGCUGCGACCCAUUUGGGGUCGCACGACUCGGUGAUGUAAAACCACCCCGAUUGCCACCCCUUCAGGGUCUCCACAAAGGAGCCCUCGAGCCACAGGACGUUGGCCAUCUUGCCAACCAUGGCACCGCCGCACUCCUCCUGGCUGCCGCGCACCACCUUCGGCUUGACGUUGAAAGUCUUAAGCCAUAGGCCAAAAUGGGGGCGGAUCCGGAGGAACUCCUCGCACACGACGAUGAACGCCGAGAUGUUGAGGACGAAGUUUGGGGCCAGAUUGUGGAAAUCCAGGCCGUGGUAGAACAUGAGCCCCCGGACAAAUGGAUGCAGAGGGAAGCCCAGUCCGCGGAGGAAAUGGGGGGGAAUACCACCCUCUCAUGGGGCCUAGGAGUGGGGAUGAGCUGCCCCUUUUCGGGAAGCCGGUGCGCGAUAUCGCUAGCCAGAUAUCCGGCCUUCCUCAGCUUUUUGAUGUGUCCCUCCGUGACGGAGGAGACCAUCCACUUGCCUCCUGCUCCGGACAUGACUGGAGAAGGUUGAGGUGGUAGUGCGGACUUGGGCGCUGGAGCUCGAGUGCGCAAGAAUGGAUAGGCAAAGGAGGAAGAAGGCGUGGGUGAAAGGGUGGAUCCUUAUCCCCUUAUAUGGGUGGACGCAACAAUGUGUCCCCACCAGCCUGGUAAAAAUCGCUUAUCUCCAAGCACCGUAAUCAAUGGCGCGGUUGGGUUACCCACGCCGGUAUUGAUGAGAAUCCCGGAAUAAGGGGACACGAUCUCUGCUUUAACAAGACGUGCCAAGCAGACCGCCUCGCGUAACGCGCUAAGAUGGGACAGUAAAACGGUUCGAAUAAAAGCUUGGCUGUGGUGUGAUGUCACACUACGGAAUACGUCAGCAGAUUAGAUUUGUGUAAAUAUUAUUCUCUCUAUGGCAAUAUGUGGAAACUUAUUUUGCAGAGCCGGACACUAUCUUUGUGUUCAAAAUGUUCUAUGAAGUACUUGGAGGAGGAACCCGCCUUGCAAUGUCAAAGACAAUUUGCGCACCGGACUCGUCAUCAUUGAAGCCUGGUUCAGGGGCUACUGAGGGAGUCCUGGAUUAGGGGGUGUUUGGAUAGCCGAACUAUACCUUCAGCCGGACUCCUGGACUAUGAAGAUACAAGAUUGAAGACUUCGGCCCGUGUCCGGAAGGGACUUUCCUUGGCGUGGAAGGCAAGCUUGGCGAUACGGAUAUUCAGAUCUCCUACCAUUGUAACCGACUCUAUGUAACCCUAACCCUAUCCGGUGUCUAUAUAAAUCGGAGGGUUUUAGUCCGUAGGACAACAUACACAUGAACAAUCAAACCAUAGGCUAGCUUCUAGGGUUUAGCCUCUCUGAUCCCAUGGUAGAUCUACUCUUGUACUACCCAUAUCAUCAAUAUUAAUCAAGCAGGACGUAGGGUUUUACCUCCAUCGAGAGGGCCCGAACCUGGGUAAAACUUCAUGUCCCUUGCCUCCUGUUACCAUCCGGCCUAGACGCACAGUUCGGGACCCCCUACCCGAGAUCCGCCGGUUUUCACACCGACACCUGGCCUGGUAAGAAGACAUAACCUUGUGUGCCCAUUGUUGUUGUUAUGGAUCUGGUCCCCGUGAGGGACGGUCCCCGUGAGGGACGUUUUGGCCACGACGGUGGUCGUUGUGACUUUGGUAGACACGGUGCCACCCAGGACUAGCCCAGUUGGGAUUGGGUCGGAUUGGCCAGGAGAGUGUCAUGGCAGUAGAUCGGUUUUGUCGGAAUGUCGUUGGUCCACCUGAAUGGGAGUGCGAGGCCAUGGGUUCCUUAGUGUGGGUACAAUGUACUAACAUCUGCAGAGUGCAUAUUAAAUCUAUCGAUAGCCGUGCCCGUGGAUAAGGGCCUAGUUCGUAGUUGGUCACACUAUGAGUCAACAGUAAUAAUAAUAAUAAUGUGUUUAAUAACAACCCCGGUUCGAUGAUGAGAUAAGUUGGUUGUGAUCGCCGGAAGGAUCACUGUUGGAGACCAAGUGUUGGUCGUGGUUGUGAUCGCCGGAAGGAUCACUGUUUGAGACCAAGUGUUGGUCGUGGUUGGGAUCGCCGGAAGGAUCACCAUUUGGUUACGAGGUAACUCGAGCAGAGUAAAUGGUGCAUAUAGUGUCAUCAUGUUGCAUGCUGGUAUCGUCAGAUUUAUAUGUUCAUGUCAUAAUCCUAUUGUUCUAGCAGUAUUAUGUUCACGUUGUUCAUGCCAUGAUCAUAUUGUUCUAGCAGUAUUAUGUUCAUGUUGUUCAUGCCAUGUUAUUCUGAUGAUCUCAUGAGAGUUCCUGCUUAACCUGUAAUUCCCAUGUUGUUGUUUGUCUUGAAUGCUUCUGGUUAUUGUGAGCUUGCAAGUACAUUCAAUGUACUGACCUGGCGUGUCAUGCCAGUUUGCAGGUCAUGCCUGGAUUUCUUGCUUGUUUGGUGUUGUUCCCGUGUUCGCGAGCUAGGAUAAACAUUCCAUCCAGAGUCCCUAUGGAUUGGAGUCCAUCAUCGACGUUCGUUGUUCCGCUGCCAGUAAUUGUUCCGCUGCUUCAAGUUGUUAUGCUGCUUGUAUGGAGCAACCAUGGUUGGCAUAAUGUUGCAGUGCCGAUGUUAUUCAUUGUAAUAUCGGAACGCUUGUAUUCAUAUUCGUGUUGUAAUAGAGAGCUG